rnacentral:rRNA from 1 species
ACUGUGAGGUAUGCUGGAGGUAUCAGAAGUGCGAAUGCUGACAUAAGUAACGAUAAAGCGGGUGAAAAGCCCGCUCGCCGGAAGACCAAGGGUUCCUGUCCAACGUUAAUCGGGGCAGGGUGAGUCGACCCCUAAGGCGAGGCCGAAAGGCGUAGUCGAUGGGAAACAGGUUAAUAUUCCUGUACUUGGUGUUACUGCGAAGGGGGGACGGAGAAGGCUAUGUUGGCCGGGCGACGGUUGUCCCGGUUUAAGCGUGUAGGCUGGUUUUCCAGGCAAAUCCGGAAAAUCAAGGCUGAGGCGUGAUGACGAGGCACUACGGUGCUGAAGCAACAAAUGCCCUGCUUCCAGGAAAAGCCUCUAAGCAUCAGGUAACAUCAAAUCGUACCCCAAACCGACACAGGUGGUCAGGUAGAGAAUACCAAGGCGCUUGAGAGAACUCGGGUGAAGGAACUAGGCAAAAUGGUGCCGUAACUUCGGGAGAAGGCACGCUGAUAUGUAGGUGAAGCGACUUGCUCGUGGAGCUGAAAUCAGUCGAAGAUACCAGCUGGCUGCAACUGUUUAUUAAAAACACAGCACUGUGCAAACACGAAAGUGGACGUAUACGGUGUGACGCCUGCCCGGUGCCGGAAGGUUAAUUGAUGGGGUUAGCGGUAACGCGAAGCUCUUGAUCGAAGCCCCGGUAAACGGCGGCCGUAACUAUAACGGUCCUAAGGUAGCGAAAUUCCUUGUCGGGUAAGUUCCGACCUGCACGAAUGGCGUAAUGAUGGCCAGGCUGUCUCCACCCGAGACUCAGUGAAAUUGAACUCGCUGUGAAGAUGCAGUGUACCCGCGGCAAGACGGAAAGACCCCGUGAACCUUUACUAUAGCUUGACACUGAACAUUGAGCCUUGAUGUGUAGGAUAGGUGGGAGGCUUUGAAGUGUGGACGCCAGUCUGCAUGGAGCCGGCCUUGAAAUACCACCCUUUAAUGUUUGAUGUUCUAACGUUGGCCCCUGAUCGGGGUUGCGGACAGUGUCUGGUGGGUAGUUUGACUGGGGCGGUCUCCUCCUAAAGAGUAACGGAGGAGCACGAAGGUUGGCUAAUCCUGGUCGGACAUCAGGAGGUUAGUGCAAUGGCAUAAGCCAGCUUGACUGCGAGCGUGACGGCGCGAGCAGGUGCGAAAGCAGGUCAUAGUGAUCCGGUGGUUCUGAAUGGAAGGGCCAUCGCUCAACGGAUAAAAGGUACUCCGGGGAUAACAGGCUGAUACCGCCCAAGAGUUCAUAUCGACGGCGGUGUUUGGCACCUCGAUGUCGGCUCAUCACAUCCUGGGGCUGAAGUAGGUCCCAAGGGUAUGGCUGUUCGCCAUUUAAAGUGGUACGCGAGCUGGGUUUAGAACGUCGUGAGACAGUUCGGUCCCUAUCUGCCGUGGGCGCUGGAGAACUGAGGGGGGCUGCUCCUAGUACGAGAGGACCGGAGUGGACGCAUCACUGGUGUUCGGGUUGUCAUGCCAAUGGCACUGCCCGGUAGCUAAAUGCGGAAGAGAUAAGUGCUGAAAGCAUCUAAGCACGAAACUUGCCCCGAGAUGAGUUCUCCCUGACUCCUUGAGAGUCCUGAAGGAACGUUGAAGACGACGACGUUGAUAGGCCGGGUGUGUAAGCGCAGCGAUGCGUUGAGCUAACCGGUACUAAUGAACCGUGAGGCUUAACCUUACAA